UAUAAGAGAACAUCAUUGGAUCUGCAAACGAUGGUGCUUGAUUCCAUGGCGCAAACUGAUCAAAGGGGACAAGUGGGGUUUGUGUCUGCAUCUGAGGAGUAAACACCAUGGGAGGAAGAUCAGAGUUACUUCCUAGACCAGAUCCUUGUUCCCCAAGUAAAGUCGAUUGCUCAAAGCUAGAAACAGAGUUAGGGAUUUGACAGAAGCUACAAUCAUCAUGGUUAUAGGGAAAGACUGAAAAUUUGCUCUCAUGUUGACUCAAUGAUG